GGCAGUUUUGUGACCACACACCCACACACCACUAAAUUGUGCUUAUUUUUCUCAUUUUGCAGUCAUCUAGGAGAAACUUGUCAUGGUCUGGACUAGCCUGGCAUGGAAAAAUCCCAGAUCCGUCUGUGAUGCUGCCCAGACUUUAGAGAUGCCAUAAAGGCUACUUAGUAUGCCUCACUCUUUGCUUGUUACUUUUUCUGAACAGAGCUCUGUCAGAAAAAAUUGUCUCGGUCCUGCCAAGGAUGAAAUGCCCACACCAGUUGGAGCCCCACCAGAUCCAAGGGAUGGAUUUUAUUCACAUAUUUCCUGUUGUUCAGUGGCUGGUGAAACGAGCUAUAGAAACAAAAGAAGAGAUGGGUGACUAUAUCCGCUCCUACUCUGUAUCCCAGUUCCAGAAGACUUACAGUCUCCCUGAGGAUGAUGACUUCAUAAAGAGAAAAGAAAAGGCCAUCAAGACAGUUGUGGAC
rnacentral:sRNA from 1 species